rnacentral:RNase_P_RNA from 1 species
GUGAGCCAGUGAGUGGGACACUCGAAAGAGAGGAAACUCCUCCCUCGUUGCAGACGCCUGAAUUAGCGAUAAUUAGUCGGAGACGGCUGGCAACGGAACAGAAAAGAUAUCCAGUCAGUGUAAUACGAUGAUGGUGAAUAACCUGAGGUUUUCUGAUACUGGAAUGAAACUGCCGACCCAGGCGGAGCAAGGCCAAAUGGAGCAUAAGGAUCUGCACCUGCUCAGGUUGGCUGCUCAGCAGAAUCCCGCUUAGAACAGAAGGAGAGUUAUUGCUGGCACGC